ensembl:lncRNA novel transcript, antisense to PLD5
AAUGCAAAGCAGUGAGAUUGCUGGGUCAUACAGGGAGGACAAAUGGAUUCCUGAGGUGCAGGGCAAUCAACAGAUGAGAUCCAAGAGUCAGAACCCUGGAAUGGACCACCAGAACUUUCCCAUGGAGCCCCAGGACUUCUUCCCCCAAUUCCUGCUGUUUCUCCUCCUCCCUGUAGCAGGCUUCUUAAAGCAGGAUGAAAAAGCCUCACAGCUUGCGGUGUUGACAGUAUUCUAGAAGACCCUACACCCCUGUGGCUUCUCGAUGACUAAUGUGGAGCCAGCAUCUGUCAGCACAAACUCAGAGUGAUUACCCAGAAAUAGGUGCUUGGCAACAAUCCCAAUUCAUUACCCAUGUCCUAGCCCAGAGUGUGGAGGAAAAGUGAUACCAUCAAUUUCUUGGCAAUUAUCCCAUGACGGAUCAUUCAAGUAUUUUAAAUAAAAUAUCAAUUCAAUUUUAAUAUAUUGGUUGCUCAUAUACUACAGGCUAUAGGCACUAUUCUGAAUUCUGUAAGGAAUGAAGAGAGAUAUAUAUAUAUAUACUUUUUUUUUUCUUUUUUGAGAUGG